rnacentral:rRNA from 1 species
GACGAACCGUGCGAACGUUAUUCGGAAUCACUGGGCUUAAAGCGCGUGUAGGCGGCCCGGCACGUCCGUCGCUGAAAUCCCCCGGCUCAACCGGGGAAGUGGCGUGGAUACGGCCGGGCUGGAGGGGGGUAGGGGGAGCCGGAACUUCCGGUGGAGCGGUGAAAUGCGUUGAGAUCGGAAGGAACGCCCGUGGCGAAAGCGGGCUCCUGGACCCCACCUGACGCUGAGACGCGAAAGCCAGGGAGCGAACGGG